AUUCUUUGGGAUAAGAGGGAAAAACUCAUUUUAGAAAGGUUAGAAAAUAAAGGAAAACUUGUAGCCAGAAAAGAAAGUUCUAGAGAGAAUGAAGAAGUCUGAUCUCCCGCUGUGAUUCUUGUCCGAAAUCGAUCAAUCCAUCUUCCUUCAUUUGGGAGGAAGAAAUGAAGCAUGGGUUGGAGCUCAAAAUUAAGAAGAAUCCUACAUAUUUGAAGUUUUGAAGGAUGAGUUGGAGAUGCUCUAUUGUUUUUUUCAAUUAGAUCUGUGAUAUGUGACGAGGUAGCAAGUUACAAAAUCAUUUACUGUUGUAUUGUGAUGGGAGGAUCUUGGAUAUCAAUAUCUUCUUUGUUCAUAAUUUAGUAAUGAUGCCAAACCACUUUCAGUUUCUUCA